rnacentral:rRNA from 1 species
AGGGGCAGCAUUCCAGUUUGCUUGCAAACUGGAGAUGGCGACCGGCGCACGGGUGAGUAACACGUAUCCAACCUGCCGAUAACUCGGGGAUAGCCUUUCGAAAGAAAGAUUAAUACCCGAUGGCAUAAUAGAACCGCAUGGUUUGAUUAUUAAAGAAUUUCGGUUAUCGAUGGGGAUGCGUUCCAUUAGGCAGUUGGUGGGGUAACGGCCCACCAAACCUUCGAUGGAUAGGGGUUCUGAGAGGAAGGUCCCCCACAUUGGAACUGAGACACGGUCCAAACUCCUACGGGAGGCAGCAGUGAGGAAUAUUGGUCAAUGGACGAGAGUCUGAACCAGCUAAGUAGCGUGAAGGAUGACUGCCCUAUGGGUUGUAAACUUCUUUUAUAUGGGAAUAAAGUGGUCCCCGUGUGGAUUUUUGUAUGUACCAUAUGAAUAAGGAUCGGCUAACUCCGUGCCAGCAGCCGCGGUAAUACGGAGGAUCCGAGCGUUAUCCGGAUUUAUUGGGUUUAAAGGGAGCGUAGGUGGACAGUUAAGUCAGUUGUGAAAGUUUGCGGCUCAACCGUAAAAUUGCAGUUGAUACUGGCUGUCUUGAGUACAGUAGAGGUGGGCGGAAUUCGUGGUGUAGCGGUGAAAUGCUUAGAUAUCACGAAGAACUCCGACUGCGAAGGCAGCUCACUG